rnacentral:lncRNA from 1 species
CGCCAUUGUCGGACCAGAGGAAUUUCAAGGUCGCCAUUGCCGAGUAGCAUACUAUAUUGAUGAAUACGACCAUGUACAUGCAUAACAGACUUUGUGGCGAAUAUACAACGAUGAAGGUAGAGUUAUUACAUAAGAAAACAUAGAUUUCGAUAUAUUAGGCAGCCAAAUGUUAUCAGUAUCACGAAAAAUACAAACUUGGGGGUUGUCUCAAAAUACUCGCUACUGUUGAAAAUCACUGCGGCUGAAACCUUGCACGGGCUCAAUUUCUGUUCCAUGUUUAAUCGUUAUAGCUGGUAUCUUAUUUAUGUGUUUAUUUUACCCUUUACAGACAAGUUGUAAACAUGUCUGGCCAGUUUUGAAAAAUAUCCGUGUGCAAACGGCCGAAGAGGAAGGGAUGACAUCUACUAUGAAGCACCACAUUCACAACUGUCAUUUUGACGCUACCGUUAGUGUCAAUGAAUUAGUCUUUUUUAAUCAUCAUUUGUAAUAUCUAAUUUCGUAGCCAAGUUAGGGUCAUAUGUAUGUGGGGUACCCCAUAACUUCCCUCGGGACAGCUACUCCCUAGCCCCAACUAUAUUUCCCUUCCCUUUUACCCUAAAAUCCCCCCCCCCCCCCCUUACUUCAAUACUUCCAUCUCCUUGCUCCAAGACAAAAUAAAAAUGACAAAAUAUAUUUCCAAGAUACCCCCUUUUCUCUCAUUCUCCUGUCCACCCCCUCAAUUAAGGUCCUCAAGGAGUUUGAUUGACUUGUUUAUUUUCUUGAGAAUAUGAUAUAAUUGGCCUAAUUUGUAAAUGAUAAACCCUACAGUAGGAGGCAAUACAUCUUAUUGAAGGAUUCGUCUUGAUCAAUCACAAUUUGUUUACCAUUAACCCCCCCUAAUUAUGUUAGGUAUACAAAAAUUUCUUAAGGUCUAGUAAUAGUAGUAUCAGGGUUAAACAUGUACAGAGUGUGGCCAUAAGUAUUUGUCACUUGAGAUUUUUAGCUGUUCAUGUAUAUUGUAUAUAUAAAACUACAUUUUUUAAAAAAAAAAUAUUUUGGGAUCAUUUUGGAUUGAUUUUAAGCCUCCUGGUACCAAUAGAAGCAGUAUUAUCACAUGUUUAUUUUUUGGUUAUAUUUUUUUUUUGUGUCUCAUUUUCAUUAUUUUCUGUUCAGAAAUUCGAUAUAUAUUCAACCAAAUUAAAUUAUAAAAAAAUAUUUUAUGUGUUCUCAAGGGAAACACAAAAACGAACCUAUUAUCAAAUAAACACAUAUUAAUUUAGACCAUUCUACUUCUUUUAAGGCCUCGAAGAUAAAAAUCCAACCAUAAAUGCCCUCAAAAUAUUUUUUUGAAGAAAUGUGUUUUUAUAUGAAAUAUAUAUAGCAAAAAAAUGCAGGUGACAAAUACUUUUGGCCAGGUACUGUAUUUUGAGUUGAAAAAAUCAUUAUUGUUUUGUGAAUAGUAUUUUUUAAUAAAUACAAAAUUUGUGUAUCCUAUAUUCCAAACAGGGUACAAGAAGCCUCUGACAGCAUAUUUUUUUCAUGAGGACUGAGCUGCAUUUCAGAAUUGAAGGCAGCCGAACAGCAAGAAGUCUUUAUUCAACCUAUAGAAACAAAAUCACUAUUUACACUUGUUGUGCAUGUAAUUAUAUUUUGUUUGCUCAUUAUUGAUCACCACAAAUUCUUCAUUAUUUUUAAAACCAUAGCGGCAGGGGCAUUAAGUUUUACCCUUGCAUUGUCAGUCUUAUCAAACUUGCAUGUACGUCCCAAAUUUGGUUUCUGUUCUCCAACUUCAGUUUGCCUCUACCAAUGUUAUGAAACUAAUACACAAUUAAUGCAUAUAUAUAUGCUUAUUACCAACAAACACACAUGAAGUUUGAAUUUUUGGUGGGGUCGCUUUUACUUUUCUAGAGUUAUGCCCCUUUACAAUUUUAAAAAAAAUUGCUGAAUUUUUGUUCCUUUCUUUAACACAAGUUUGCUUCAUCCAAAUGUUCUGAAACUUAUAUGCAAUGCUUACUACAACAACACUCAGAUCAAGUACAAAUUUGGGUGGUGUCUUUUCAUUCUUUAUAUGCAAGCGGCUGCUCAUCUGUGUCCCAUGGACACAUUCCCCAUUAUGAACUAGUCUACAUCUAUAUGCUUUUGAAUGUCAAUAAUUGUUGAUUUUCUGACAGAAUUACUCUGAUAUUUAAUUUCAGGCUGCAAGUACAUUUGUACAUGUACAUGCAAAUGGAAGGAGUGAUCUUGGAAUGUUCAACUUUACUUGGAAACUAUUGGCAAAGUACUGACAGAAUUUCAUGAGAAGCCAGUAUCAUAUUCUAGUCUUGCAACCAGAAACUAUGCGUAAAGUGAUGAAACUUAAGAACAACAUUCUACAUGUAUA